GGAGAGGUGCCAGAGCGGCCGAAUGGGCACGGUUGGAAACCGUGUGUGCCCGCAAGGGUACCCAGGGUUCGAAUCCCUGCCUCUCCGCCA
rnacentral:tRNA from 1 species